ACCGAGGUGGUUCAAUGGUAGCACGUCUGCUUAUAGUCACGCCUCGUAUGAGGAGCCCUUCGGGGCUCAGCAGCGAUCCAGGUUCGAGUCCUGGCCUUGGUC
rnacentral:tRNA from 1 species